rnacentral:rRNA from 1 species
UUAAGCAUAUCAAUAAGCGGAGGAAAAGAAACCAACAGGGAUUGCCCCAGUAACGGCGAGUGAAGCGGCAACAGCUCAAAUUUGAAAUCUGGCCCCAGGCCCGAGUUGUAAUUUGCAGAGGAUGCUUUUGGCGCGGUGCCUUCCGAGUUCCCUGGAACGGGACGCCAUAGAGGGUGAGAGCCCCGUACGGUUGGACACCAAGCCUUUGUAAAGCUCCUUCGACGAGUCGAGUAGUUUGGGAAUGCUGCUCAAAAUGGGAGGUAUAUUUCUUCUAAAGCUAAAUAUUGGCCAGAGACCGAUAGCGCACAAGUAGAGUGAUCGAAAGAUGAAAAGCACUUUGAAAAGAGGGUUAAACAGCACGUGAAAUUGUUGAAAGGGAAGCGCUUGUGACCAGACUUGCGCCCGGUGAAUCACCCAGCUCUCGCGGCUGGGGCACUUUGCCGGCACAGGCCAGCAUCAGCUCGCUGUCGGGGACAAAAGCUUCGGGAACGUAGCUCUCUUCGGGGAGUGUUAUAGCCCGUUGCAUAAUACCCUUCGGUGGGCUGAGGUACGCGCUCCGCAAGGAUGCUGGCGUAAUGGUCAUCAGCGACCCGUCUUGAAACACGGACCAAGGAGUCAACCUUAUGUGCGAGUGUUUGGGUGUCAAACCCCUACGCGUAAUGAAAGUGAACGCAGGUGAGAGCUUCGGCGCAUCAUCGACCGAUCCUGAUGUUCUCGGAUGGAUUUGAGUAAGAGCAUAUAGGGUUGGACCCGAAAGAAGGUGAACUAUGCGUGUAUAGGGUGAAGCCAGAGGAAACUCUGGUGGAGGCUCGCAGCGGUUCUGACGUGCAAAUCGAUCGUCAAAUAUGCGCAUGGGGGCGAAAGACUAAUCGAACCUUCUAGUAGCUGGUUUCCGCCGAAGUU